rnacentral:rRNA from 1 species
UAGGGAAUCUUCGGCAAUGGACGAAAGUCUGACCGAGCAACGCCGCGUGAGUGAAGAAGGUUUUCGGAUCGUAUAACUCUGUUGUCAGUGAAGAACAAGGACGUUAGUAACUGUACGUCCCCUGACGGUAUCUCACCAGAUAGCCACGGCUAACUACGUGCCAGCAGCGGCGGUAAUACGUAGGUGGCAAGCGUUGUCCGGAUUUAUUGGGAGUUAAGCGAGCGCAGGCGGUUUCUUAAGUCUGAUGGGAAAGCCCCCGGCUCAACCGGGGAGGGUCAUUUGAAACUGGGAGACUUGAGUGCAGAAGAGGAGGGUGGAAUUCCAUGUGUAGCGGUGAAAUGCGUAGAUAUAUGGCGGAACGUCAGUGGCGAAGGCUGCUCUCUGGUCUGUAACUGAAGCUGUGGCUGGAAAGCGUGGGGAGCAAACAGG